CCUACGGGGGGCUGCAGUGGGGAAUAUUGGACAAUGGGGGGAACCCUGAUCCAGCCAUGCCGCGUGUGUGAAGAAGGCCCUCGGGUUGUAAAGCACUUUCAGUGAGGAAGAACGCCUGGUGGUUAAUACCCAUCAGGAAAGACAUCACUCACAGAAGAAGCACCGGCUAACUCCGUGCCAGCAGCCGCGGUAAUACGGAGGGUGCGAGCGUUAAUCGGAAUUACUGGGCGUAAAGCGCGCGUAGGUGGCUUGAUAAGCCGGUUGUGAAAGCCCCGGGCUCAACCUGGGAACGGCAUCCGGAACUGUCAAGCUAGAGUGCAGGAGAGGAAGGUAGAAUUCCCGGUGUAGCGGUGAAAUGCGUAGAGAUCGGGAGGAAUACCAGUGGCGAAGGCGGCCUUCUGGACUGACACUGACACUGAGGUGCGAAAGCGUGGGUAGCAUACAGGAUUAGAUACCCGUGUAGUC
rnacentral:rRNA from 1 species